rnacentral:lncRNA from 1 species
GUAGAUCGUUUGGGCUUUUCUAGUAGUGUAUGUCUAGAUACAUAAUAAUAUCCAUAAAUCUAAAAAAAUUAAAAUGAUCUACAAUUUGAAAUGGAGGGAGCACAACAAACGUGAUAUUGGAUGAAGAAUCUCAACCUCCUCAUUCAUAUCAGAGCAUCGUAGGUCCUUGCCAUAAAAAAUGCCUUCUAUGAAUAUGAAACAAAAAAAGCACUUAGGGUAGCCACAGUAGAGAGGAAAAAUAC